rnacentral:rRNA from 2 species
UGACGACCAUAGCAAGGUGGUCCCACUCCUUCCCAUCCCGAACAGGACAGUGAAACGCCUUCGCGCCGAUGAUAGUGGAUGUACAUCUGUGAAAGUAGGUCAUCGUCA